rnacentral:rRNA from 1 species
UACAGAGGGUGCGAGCGUUAAUCGGAAUUACUGGGCGUAAAGCGCACGUAGGCGGCUUGGUAUGUCGGGUGUGAAAUCCCCGGGCUCAACCUGGGAACUGCAUCCGAAACUGCCUUGCUCGAGUAUGGGAGAGGGAAGUGGAAUUUCCGGUGUAGCGGUGAAAUGCGUAGAUAUCGGAAGGAACGUCAGUGGCGAAGGCGACUUCCUGGACCAAUACUGACGCUCAGGUGCGAAAGCGUGGGGAGCAAACAGG